GUUGGCAUGGGCACAAGCACAGGCCAUGCUGGAGGAGACUCGUGAUGGGGGAGGAUUUUAGGCUUCUGUGCAACCUGCUGUGUCUGUGCUCUGUGCAUUUUGAGCAGUGGAUGAGAUGGAUCCUUUGUUCUGUGGCUGAAGAGAUCCCAGGAAAUCUUGAGUUUCAGGAUGGAGUUUUGGAUCUGCUCUGCUCAGCUGGACUGGGAUUUCAUCCAUGCACUCACUCUCCCCGGGGUGUUCAAUUUUUGCAACCUCUCUGUGCUCAGAUUGAAUCUAUCUAGAAAAAUCAAAAGGACCCAUGCAACCCCAAACUACUUAUGAUUGCACUUGUUCUUGCUAUUUUUGAUGUCCUUUGACAGCAAACACUUAUUUCUGUUCAUUGCACCACAUUUACCCCCAAGGAAGCUUUUGCUCAGAACAAUCUGUGUGAGGUUUGGGAGAGCUGUGCACCCAAAACUUCCCUAAAGUUCCACGAAAUAUAUUACAUGUGGAGCACAAAGAUCAUUUCACAAUUCCUUGCUAGCUUUUCUAAUAAAUUGUCUCACAUCCA